AUCUCACGGUGAGGGCACCAUCUCAAUAAAUCCUUGUAUCUUUCCCAUGCAUCAUAUAAAGUCUCUAAAUUGAUUUGAACAAAACAAGAGAUAUUAUUCUUCAACUU
rfam:Gossypium hirsutum cultivar TM-1 unplaced genomic scaffold scaffold2517.1, whole genome shotgun sequence